rnacentral:lncRNA from 1 species
UAGACAACCACCAGCUAAUCUCUAUUGGCUUGGACGGCUCUCUCAAAUGUUACUGUCUAUAUGAAUCCACCUUGGGAUAUUAGUAAAAUGAGUUUCUGAUACAGAAGAUCUAGAAAGCGCCUGAAAUGCUGAUAUUCUGUCUCCCAGGUGGAGGAGUUCAGCUAUUACCUUGACUUUGCCGAAGUCCUAGGCACUCCCAUGCCCUCAGAGUCUCAUUUUGAAUCCAGGCACUUAGGGAUGCUAUUUUUCCACAUCAAACAGCUUCCUCCCAGCCAAAGAAUUCUGGUGACAGUAGUGAAGAUAAUUUUCACUCCUGCUUACAGAAUGACAAAGCAAAAGCAAAGAGGAGAAGAAUGAAGUAAAGACAACCAAAGGAAAAGACUGAUGGCUCCUUAAGAAUGAUCUUGAUAAAGGAAUGGUGGCUGAGGGGUCCAUCUCCUAAACCACCCACCUUACUGACUCCCUAGAGCAAUGCCAUACAGAAAGCUGCACCUUGAGGGGAAGACACAAGAAUCCUGGAGUGGAAAAAAAUUGGGUAAUGAUGACAGCCUUCGAGGUCUUGAGAGUAAAGCAGAAGCAAAAAAAAAGUGUUAUUUUUAUCUUUUGAAGAUGGUUCCCUCUUAAGACUUUUGCGAAUGAUUAAGAUUUCAAUUAUGUUCCAGGAAAAAAAUAAGAUUUUUGCUUGACAAAAAAAAUUUUUGUCUAGAACAGGUGGGAAGGAAGAGAUAGUUUAGCCACAUCCAAGAGACCUGUAAAUUGGGUACAGUGAAGUGAAUGGUGUACCAGUCAUAAAAGAAUGUUAACUGGAGAAGUCUCUGCUGUCUUCCUGUAACUGAGGGGGGUGUAACCAUCCUUGUGGAAGCGUCCACUUUUAUUGAAGAUUGGCUAAAUAAAUCUGUGCCUACUGAAACUCAAG